UACAGAGGUCUCAAGCGUUGUUCGGAUUCAUUGGGCGUAAAGGGUGCGUAGGCGGUCUGGCAAGUCGGUCGUGAAAUCCCUUGGCUUAACCAAGGAACUGCGAUCGAAACUACCGGACUAGAGUGUCGGAGGGGGUGGCGGAAUUCCCGGUGUAGAGGUGAAAUUCGUAGAUAUCGGGAGGAACACCUGUGGCGAAGGCGGCCACCUGGAAGAUUACUGACGCUGAGGAGCGAAAGCGUGGGUAGCAAACAGG
rnacentral:rRNA from 1 species